AUUGAACGCUGGCGGCAUGCCUAACACAUGCAAGUCGAACGGCAGCGCAGCAGUAGCAAUACUGUGGGUGGCGAGUGGCGGACGGGUGAGGAAUACGUCGGAAUCUGCCCAGUCGUGGGGGAUAACUAGCCGAAAGGUUAGCUAAUACCGCAUACGACCGAGAGGUGAAAGCGGGGGACCGCAAGGCCUCGCGCGAUUGGAUGAGCCGACGUCGGAUUAGCUAGUUGGCGGGGUAAAGGCCCACCAAGGCGACGAUCCGUAGCUGGUCUGAGAGGAUGAUCAGCCACACUGGAACUGAGACACGGUCCAGACUCCUACGGGAGGCAGCAGUGGGGAAUAUUGGACAAUGGGCGCAAGCCUGAUCCAGCAAUGCCGCGUGUGUGAAGAAGGCCUUCGGGUUGUAAAGCACUUUUAUCAGGAGCGAAAAGCGUUGGAUUAAUACUCUGACGUGCUGACGGUACCUGAGGAAUAAGCACCGGCUAACUUCGUG
rnacentral:rRNA from 1 species